GACGAACGCUGGCGGCGUGCCUAAUACAUGCAAGUAGAACGCUGAAGCGAGGAGCUUGCUCUUCUUGGAUGAGUUGCGAACGGGUGAGUAACGCGUAGGUAACCUGCCUUGUAGCGGGGGAUAACUAUUGGAAACGAUAGCUAAUACCGCAUAACAAUGGAUGACCCAUGUCAUUUAUUUGAAAGGGGCAAAUGCUCCACUACAAGAUGGACCUGCGUUGUAUUAGCUAGUAGGUGAGGUAACGGCUCACCUAGGCGACGAUACAUAGCCGACCUGAGAGGGUGAUCGGCCACACUGGGACUGAGACACGGCCCAGACUCCUACGGGAGGCAGCAGGAGGGAAUCUUCGGCAAUGGGGGCAACCCUGACCGAGCAACGCCGCGUGAGUGAAGAAGGUUUUCGGAUCGUAAAGCUCUGUUGUAAGUCAAGAACGAGUGUGAGAGUGGAAAGUUCACACUGUGACGGUAGCUUACCAGAAAGGGACGGCUAACUACGUG
rnacentral:rRNA from 1 species